ACGAACGCUGGCGGCGUGCUUAACACAUGCAAGUCGAACGGAAAGGCCCUGCUUUUGUGGGGUGCUCGAGUGGCGAACGGGUGAGUAACACGUGAGUAACCUGCCCUUGACUUUGGGAUAACUUCAGGAAACUGGGGCUAAUACCGGAUAGGAGCUCCUGCUGCAUGGUGGGGGUUGAAAAGUUUCGGCGGUUGGGGAUGGACUCGCGGCUUAUCAGCUUGUUGGUGGGGUAGUGGCUUACCAAGGCUUUGACGGGUAGCCGGCCUGAGAGGGUGACCGGCCACAUUGGGACUGAGAUACGGCCCAGACUCCUACGGGAGGCAGCAGUGGGGAAUAUUGCACAAUGGGCGGAAGCCUGAUGCAGCAACGCCGCGUGCGGGAUGACGGCCUUCGGGUUGUAAACCGCUUUCGCCUGUGACGAAGCGUGAGUGACGGUAAUGGGUAAAGAAGCACCGGCUAACUACGUG
rnacentral:rRNA from 1 species